UUCAAAUAGGGUAGCCUAGUGGUCAUGGCAUCUGCCCGGUAAGCAGAUUACUGUAGGUUCGAUUCCCAUCCCUGGAC